CGUUUGUGAGGAUUCGUUCGACUUCAUCCGUUGGUCUUCUGCAUGGACCCGUUCUUCUUCCUUGCGGGAUCUCAGGCAAGAUGACCAUACCCUCGAAAUCACUUGUAUCUUUGCUUUGCUAGUUGUUCGCUCUAUCGCUAUGCUGCGCUACCUACCACUUGCUAUAUCAUGCCUCCCAUAUUGCCAUGUCAAGCCUCUAACCAUCCUUUCCUAGCAAACCGUUGUUUGGCUAAGUUACCGCUUUUACUCAGCCCUUCUUAUAGCGUUGCUAGUUGCAGGUGAAGUUGAGGUUGGUUCCAUGUUGGAACAUGGAUAUUUUGGAAUAUCACAAUAUCUCUUAUUUAAUUAAUGCAUCUAUAUAUUUGGUAAAGGGUGGAAGGCUCGGCCUUAUGCCUGUUGUUUUGUUCCACUCUUGCCGCCCUAGUUUCCGUCAUACCGGUAUUAUGUUCCUUGAUUUUGCGUUUCUUACGCGGUUGGGUGAUUUAUGGACCCUCUUGACAGUUCGCCUUGAUAAAACUCCUCCAGCAAGGCCCAACCUCGGUUUUACCAUUUUCCACCUACGCCUUUUUUCCCUUGGGUUUUCGCGAGCUCAAGGGUCAUCUUUAUUUAACCCCCCCGGGCCAGUGCUCCUUAGAGUGUUGGUCCGAACCGAGCAGCCUGCGGGGCCACCUCGGGGAAACUCGAGGCCUGGUUUUUACUCGUAGCUUGACUUAUCCGGUGUGCCCUGAGAACGAGAUAUGUGGAGCUCCUAUCGUGAUUUGUAGGCGCAUCGGGCGGCUUUGCUGGUCUUGUUUUACCAUUUUCGAGAUGUCUUGUAAACCAGGAUUCCGAGACUGAUCGGGUCUUCCCGGGAGAAGGUUUAUCCUUCGUUGACCGUGAGAGCUUAUAAUGGGUUAAGUUGGGACACCCCUGCAGGGUAUUAUCUUUCGAAAGCCGUGCCCGCGGUUAUGAGGCAGAUGGGAAUUUGUUAAUGUCUGGUUGUAGAGAAUUUGACACUUGACUUAUUUAAAAUACAUCAACCGUGUGUGUAGCCAUGAUGGUCUCUUUUCGGCGGAGUCCGGGAAGUGAACACGGUUUGAGUUAUGCAUGAACGUAAGUAGUUUCAGGAUCACUUCUUGAUCAUUUCUAGCUUCGCGCCCGUUGCGAUGCUCCUCUUCUCGCUCUUAUUUGCGUAUGUUAGCCACCAUAUAUGCUUAGUGCUUGCUGCAGCUCUACCUCAUUACCCCAUCCUUCCUACAAGCUUAAAUAGUCUUGAUCUCGCGGGUGUGAGAUUGCUGAGUCCUCGUGACUCACAGAUUCUACCAAAACAGUUGCAGGUGCCGACGAUACCCGUGCAGAUGACGCAACCAAGCUCAAGUGGGAGUUCGACGAGGAACGUGGUCGUUACUAUGUUUCGUUUCCGGAUGAUCAGUAGUGGAGCCUAGUUGGGACGAUCGGGGAUCUAGCAUUUGGGGUUAUCUUAUUUUCAUUUGGAUUUGACCGUAGUCGGUCUAUGUGUGGAUUUUGGAUGAUGUAUGAAUUAAUGUAUGUAUUGUGUGAAGUGGCGAUUGUAAGCCAACUCUCGUUAUCCCAUUCUUGUUCAUUACAUGGGAUUGUGUGAAAAUGACCCUUCUUGCGACAAUACCUACAAUGCGGUUAUGCCUCUAAGUCGUGCCUCGACACGUGGGAGAUAUAGCCGCAUCGUGGGCGUUACAAUUGACUUGUGGCUUCUUGCUAUGGUUGAUUUUUG
rnacentral:lncRNA from 1 species